UACGUAGGGGGCUAGCGUUGUCCGGAAUCAUUGGGCGUAAAGAGCGUGUAGGCGGCCCGGUAAGUCCGCUGUAAAAGUCAAAGGCUCAACCUUUGAAUGUCAGUGGAUACUGCCGGGCUAGAGUCCGGAAGAGGCGAGUGGAACUCCUGGUGUAGCGGUGGAAUGCGCAGAUAUCAGGAAGAACACCAACGGCGAAGGCAGCUCGCUGGGACGGUACUGACGCUGAGGAGCGAAAGCGUGGGGAGCGAACAGG
rnacentral:rRNA from 1 species